AGGGAAUCUUCGGCAAUGGGGGCAACCCUGACCGAGCAACGCCGCGUGAGUGAAGAAGGUUUUCGGAUCGUAAAGCUCUGUUGUAAGUCAAGAACGGGUGUGAGAGUGGAAAGUUCACACUGUGACGGUAGCUUACCAGAAAGGGACGGCUAACUACGUGCCAGCAGCCGCGGUAAUACGUAGGUCCCGAGCGUUGUCCGGAUUUAUUGGGCGUAAAGCGAGCGCAGGCGGUUUGAUAAGUCUGAAGUUAAAGGCUGUGGCUCAACCAUAGUUCGCUUUGGAAACUGUCAAACUUGAGUGCAGAAGGGGAGAGUGGAAUUCCAUGUGUAGCGGUGAAAUGCGUAGAUAUAUGGAGGAACACCGGUGGCGAAAGCGGCUCUCUGGUCUGUAACUGACGCUGAGGCUCGAAAGCGUGGGGAGCGAACAGGAUUAGAUACCCUGGUAGUCCACGCCGUAAACGAUGAGUGCUAGGUGUUGGAUCCUUUCCGGGAUUCAGUGCCGCAGCUAACGCAUUAAGCACUCCGCCUGGGGAGUACGACCGCAAGGUUGAAACUCAAAGGAAUUGACGGGGGCCCGCACAAGCGGUGGAGCAUGUGGUUUAAUUCGAAGCAACGCGAAGAACCUUACCAGGUCUUGACAUCCCGAUGCUAUUUCUAGAGAUAGAAAGUUACUUCGGUACAUCGGUGACAGGUGGUGCAUGGUUGUCGUCAGCUCGUGUCGUGAGAUGUUGGGUUAAGUCCCGCAACGAGCGCAACCCCUAUUGUUAGUUGCCAUCAUUCAGUUGGGCACUCUAGCGAGACUGCCGGUAAUAAACCGGAGGAAGGUGGGGAUGACGUCAAAUCAUCAUGCCCCUUAUGACCUGGGCUACACACGUGCUACAAUGGUUGGUACAACGAGUUGCGAGUCGGUGACGGCGAGCUAAUCUCUUAAAGCCAAUCUCAGUUCGGAUUGUAGGCUGCAACUCGCCUACAUGAAGUCGGAAUCGCUAGUAAUCGCGGAUCAGCACGCCGCGGUGAAUACGUUCCCG
rnacentral:rRNA from 2 species